AUGGCGGAACUACAACUUGCACUAGGUAAAACUAUGGCAGCCCUAAGAACUUGGGGCAAAAAGUUUGGUAAUGUAACAAGGGGGCUUGCAAAGUCUCGGUCACAAUUGGAGGAAUUGAUGAAUAUGAAUGCUGACCGACAAGAAAUUACGGAAAUAACUGACAAGAUGAAUGAAUUACUCUACCAGGAGGAGAUGAUGUGGCUCCAAAGAUCAAGAAUCACUUGGCUUAAGGAAGCUGAUAGGAAUACAAAUUUUUUUCAGAGUAAAGCAAUCUGGAGGGCAAGGAAGAACAAAAUCCAUGAGUUAACGGACAUUAUAGGAGUGGCGCACUCAGAUUUCUCAGCUAUGAGUAAAAUUGCCAAUGAAUACUUUCAUAAAAUUUUCAUGGCAGAUCCUAAUAUUGACCCAAGUCGGGUCGUCAAUCUUGUUGCUCCUGUGAUUUCAGAAGAGGAUAACAUAAAGCUUUGUGCACCAUUUAGCGAAAAAGAGAUUUCAGAUGCUUUAUUUCAAAUAGGACCCCUGAAAGCCCCCGGCCCGGACGGGUUUCCGGCCCGAUUUUUCAGCGAAACUGGAGUAUUCUCAAAGACAGCGUGA
rnacentral:rRNA from 1 species